GACGAACGCUGGCGGCGUGCUUAACACAUGCAAGUCGAACGGAAAGGCCCUGCUUUUGUGGGGUGCUCGAGUGGCGAACGGGUGAGUAACACGUGAGUAACCUGCCCUUGACUUUGGGAUAACUUCAGGAAACUGGGGCUAAUACCGGAUAGGAGCUCCUGCUGCAUGGUGGGGGUUGGAAAGUUUCGGCGGUUGGGGAUGGACUCGCGGCUUAUCAGCUUGUUGGUGGGGUAGUGGCUUACCAAGGCUUUGACGGGUAGCCGGCCUGAGAGGGUGACCGGCCACAUUGGGACUGAGAUACGGCCCAGACUCCUACGGGAGGCAGCAGGGGGGAAUAGUGCACAAUGGGCGGAAGCCUGAUGCAGCAGCGCCGCGUGCGGGAUGACGGCCUUCGGGUUGUAAACCGCUUUCGCCUGUGACGAAGCGUGAGUGACGGUAAGGGGUAAAGAAGCACCGGCUAACUACG
rnacentral:rRNA from 1 species